rnacentral:lncRNA from 10 species
GUAAGACUGACCCACGGGAGGGAGGUUUCUAGUCAAGGCUGUUUCCCCCAGGAAAUUUAAAAGCUAGAUUUCGGCUUCAGGGCGAUAGGCCAUGGUGAGGGGAUCUGUAUUUUUUAAGGUUUUUCUAAAGGACUUCUGGGCCAGCCUUCCACCUUGGGAUCCCCAGAUUUGCUGCCGUGAGGUACCUGGAAGGAACAGAGGGACGCCCAAGGGCAGUGACUGGGGGCAGUUAUGGUCACUACAAAAGGAGAACAGGGAUCCCCAGGAAGUGUCUCACGUCCGGCGCUGUGGAAUUAGUUGCUGAUCAAGUAGGGAGAAAAUGAAAUUAAAAUUUUAAGGGCUAAUUCCCCUUCAUUCAAGAAAUAUUUACUGUGAUGAAGACAUGUUCCAUGCAGAGGAAAUGGCCAAUGCAAAGAGCCCCUGACUGGAGGGCAUUUGGCACAUUCUAGGAGAGUGAGGAGGAUUCUAUGGGCCAGGAAUUCAGACAGGGCACAGUGUUGAUGGCUUGUCUGUGUCCUGGCUGGGAUGGCUCAAAUGGUUGUGGGACUAUUUGACUUGAAAGGCUGGAGCCUGGAAUCAUUUGAAACAUUGUUCACUCAUGUGUCUGGCACCUGCGUUAGAAUGACUGAAGGCUACAUCAACUAGAGUACUUACAUCCGGUCUCUCCAUGUGACUUGGACUUUUCACAGCGUGGAGGCUGGAUUUCAAAGGCAGGAAGACACCAUAUCAGGAAAAAGAGAGUGAACAACUGAGUCAAUUGCUGCUGAUGGUCAAGUCAGAAGAAGACUUGGAAUUAACAUAAGAUCUAGCAUCAUGUUUGUGUUAUGUAUAAGAUAUUAACAUUGAUUGCAGAUGCCCACAAUGUUUAUGAUCUGACUGAAUUCUUUAGUGGAAUCACAAAAGUUCAACAUACUCAGAUGUGUACAGUAGGUUAGUAGAGUUUGUAGGGAUAAUUAUGGCAACAUAUUUUAUAUUUCCUAAAUAACUUUAACUUGAAAAAUUCCUAUGAGGACAGAGAUACUAAAGUACAGUGGAUGCUAUGUUUAGUCUCACUAUGCAAUUUAGUCUUGUCUCUAAGAUUAGACUUCUAAACAUUCUUAAGAUUUUGAGAAAGAGAGGGAGAGAGAGAGACACUCAUAUUAAUAGGAAAAAUUGCCAAGAUAUGUCCUAAUUUUUAAACCAAAUAUUUUAAAAUAUUUUAGACAAAAGUUUAUAUCUAGGAAUCUACUUCUAGAUUUAUUAGUCUUUACUGAUUUAAAACUUUACAAAAUAACAAAUAAUAGCUUUCACCUUUUUAAAAACUAUUUUAAAAGACUAAUGUAAGGUAAUUUACUGCAAAAGACAAAUAUCAAUACCAACACCUAGUUUUAAGUUGGAAAAUGUGAAAUAAAAUCUUAUGUAAAAUACAUCAAUACCCAACAAUAUAAUAAUAAUGUAACAUAAAAUUACCAUGUCAUUGGUGGGACACACAAUUUACUAAAGUGUAAAAACCAUAACAUAACUCUUGGAAUCUCUAUAGAACUACAAAAUAUAGUUGAUGCUUGAACAAUGCAGGCAUUAGGAGUGGCAACUCCACAAAGUUGAAAAUCUGCAUAUAACUUUAGACUCUCCAAAAACUUAACUUCUAAUAGCCUACCAUUGACCAGAAACUUUACUGAUAAUGCAGUAGAUUAUCACAUAUUUUGUAUCUGCAUUAUAUACUGUAUUUUUAAAAUAAAAUAAUCUAGAGAAAAGUGAGUAUUGACGGGGCAUGGUGGCUCAUGCCUGUAAUCCUAGCAUUUUGGAAGGCUGAGGUGGGUGGAACACCUAAGGUCAGGAAUUCGAGAUCAGCCUGGCCAACAUGACAAAAUCCCGUCUCUACUAAAAAUAUAAAAAUUAGCUGGGUGUGGUGUCAGGCACCUAUAAUCUCAGCUACUUGUGAGGCUGAGGCAGGAGAAUCGCUUGAACCCAGGGAGGUGGAAGUUUCAGUGAGCCGAGAUCACACCACUUCACUCCAGCCUGAGCAAAAGAGCAAGACUCCGUCUCAAAAAAAAAAAAAAAAAAAAAAAAAGUGAAUGUUAAGAGAAUCAUAAGGAAAAGAAAAUAUAUUUACUACUCAUUAAGUGAAAGUGGAGCAUCCUAAAGAUCUUCAUCCUCAUCAUUUCCAGAUUGAGUAGGCUAAGGAGGGGGAAGAAGAAGAGGGCUUGGUCUUGCUGUCUCAGUGGAGGCAGAGGCAUAAGAAAAACGUGGAUAAAUGGAUCCAUGCAGUUCAAACCCCUGUUGUUCAAGGGCCAGCUGUAUGCUUAAACACAUCCCUGGGGGUUGUAAAACUAAUGUUACUGUUGUUUUCAUUUUGCAAUUUUUCCAUCUUGAUAUAAAAGCAAAAGUAAAGCUAAUCUAUGUACAAUUUAUUAUAGGUCAACUGAGAAUGGCAGAGGACUCAUCCCACCUUUGCCACAUGGUGACUUGCCCCACUCCCCCAGGUGACCUUGCUCGUGCAUGUGGAUAUUUGCUCAGAUUAAGAAUGUUUCCCACAAAAUUGCUUACUCUCUUUCAUUCUGUCCGUGGUUGCUUGUGGUUUAUUUGUUGAUAACUGAGACUAUUUAAAGAUUGCCAAAACAAAAGCCAUUUCUUUUCUCCCCGAAUAGCCUCAUUUUUUCUAUUCCCUUUUUCCCCUCCUAUUAACAUUUCUGGGGACUCUAAAGCAGAGCUCAAGAUGGUUCAGGACCACGGAGAGCGCAAGGAAGGGGAACUACCAAAGCACUUUAGUCAUGCAGGUGGGGAAAGAGAUGAUCCUAAAAUUGUUUUUAUUUUUCUGUUUUUUUGAGAGGGAGUCUCGCUCUGUCACCCAGGCUGGAGUGCAGUAGCACGAUCUUGGCUCACUUCAACCUCCGCGUCCCGGGUCCAAGCGAUUCUAGCGCCUCAGCCUCCUGAGUAGCUGGGAUUACAGGUGUGCACCACCAUGCCCAGCUAAUUUUUUGUAUUUUUAGUAGAGACUGGGUUUUGCCAUGUUGGCCAGGCUGGUCUCCAAUUCCUGACCUCCAGUGAUCCACCCCCCUCAGUCUCCCAAAGUGCUGGGAUUACAGGCGUGAGCCACCACGCCCAGCCAAUAGUGGAAUUGUUGCCGGACAAUAUUUAUUUAAAAGACAUUAUUGUAAAGAGUAACAGUGUAAUUCUGGCUCCUUGAAAUUUGAGGGGAAUGAUUUUUCUGGACAUUCGACCAGUGCUUUCUAAAUUUCUCCACUGAAUUCUAUCUAAUGACAGAUGAGAGGACACUGAAAGUAGGAGUAGCCAUAAGUCACCAGUGCAAAAUGUCUUUUGAAGUUUGCAUUUAUUGAUUGCUACCAUUUAUGUAAAGUUUUACAGUUUUGACAGUCAUAGGGUUCACCAAUCCACCAUAGAAGAGAAUUAAGUCAUGCGGACACAGCAGGGUUUAGAAUGGAUGAGUAGAGGAGUGUGUGCAGGCUCCAGUCCCCAAAGUCUCUAGGACUGUCCUAGAACCUGCAGCUCAUCUGUCAAUUCUGUCAACUACUCAGGAUCCUCUCAAGAAUUAUCCCCCCAUACCCACCUUUUAAAUUUCCUCAAGCUAGUUUCAUUUGAGUUUUGUCACUUGCAACUGAAUGAGCCCUGCUAAUGCAGAUAGAUUCAAUUGAGAAGGGGAAUUCUAGGCUAGGAGUACAAGGUUACAGGCAAGGAGACAGGAACAUAGCUUGGGAUUUCCUGGGGCAGUGAGAAAACUGACUUUAAAAAAAUGGAAUGGUUUCUAAAAUGUUUGUACAACUUCUCUGUAUGGCAAUGGGGUAGGAGUAUAAAUUCUUUCAGCUUCUUCUGAGGGCAGCUGAACAAGAAGUAUAAAAAUUUUGAAUGCUGAUAACAUUUGACCUAGCAAUUCCAUCUCUAGAAAUAAAUUCUACAGUAGUAAUCUUAAAAACGUAUUCACUGAAAUGUUAUUUUCUCAUAGAAAAUGUCGAAACAACAUAUGUGUCCAUCAAUAGAGAACUUGCUAAAUGAUUUAUACUACCUUUACAUAUUGAAAUACGCAUAGCCGUGGAAGAUAAUUUAGUAGAUCUAUAUGUCCCAUUAUGGAACAAUCCCCAUGGUGGGGGGAAAAGUAAGGUGCAGAACUGUAUCAUAGAUGUUCUCUCUCUCUCUCUUUUUUUUUGGAAAGCACAUGUAUGCUUUUAUAUACACAGAAAAAUUCUAGAAUGGCAAACAAGAUAUCUUUGCAAUAGUUUUUUUCUGGGAGGGGACUCAUUUAAAAAAAUUCUCCCAUAUUGCUUGUUUUGUUUUGUUAAAGACAUCCAUGUAUUCCUACUUGGGUUAAGCCAUGAUAACUAAAUAUGAUUAAAGUUCAGAACAAUAAAAACCUUAGAGAUGUAUACAUAAAUAUCACUUGCUUAGGAAUUUCUAGGUAGGUACUAUUUUAAGCCCUCUACAUAUAUUAUUUCAUUCAAUCCUUGGAGCAACUCUAGGAGGGAGGUGUUAUCCUCUAAUUGCAGAUGAGGUUGAUGAAGCUUAAAGAGUAAUGAUGCCUUGAGUCCAUCCUCUGGCUCCAAAGCCCUUGUAUUUAACUGUUCUCCCUUUUGCAUCCCUGUGCUAAAGUGACUUUGCUAUAAUAUCCACAAGGAAGAAUUUCUGUGUAAAAAUUAGACUUCCUUGCAGGCAGUCUAUCAGUGAUAUCCAAUAAAGACUCAAUAAUGGCUAACAAUACAAACCACACACACAAGAAAAACUUCUCCUUUUGUGCCAGGUACUUAGAUUAGGUGUAGUGGUUUUCUUAAACUGAUUAUCAAGGUAAACACCACCUCAUACAUUUCAGCAGAGAGCAGUGGUUUCUCUCUCCAGCAGUGGGAGCCAUUGAAUCAGGACAAUGCCACACAGUUGGGCUUUCAUGUUAGAUAGAUCACUCUUGUGGUUUUGGGGGAUGGCAUUAUAAGAGAGGAGACUGGAGACAGGGGGGCUAUUGUCAUGCAGAUUUGUUGGAUGUCCACCCAGCAUUCACUUUUUCCAUCUUUUGCCAGGGGUACACUACACAACAUCACCAGUCAUUUCAUAGAAUGGCAAUUAGAUUAGGCUUAGGUCUGCACUGCCUUCCUUCACUCCGCUCUGUCACUUGCCAUCAUUGUAAAUGCUGACAACUUAGUGCCUUUCAUGCUUCAAGUAUCAAUAAGAUAGGAAUAGUAAUAGUAUCACAUUGAAUUAUUGUGGAGUUUUGAACAGAUGAUACUUGUGUUAUCAGUGCUCAAUAAAUAUUAGCUGUCCUCUUCCUUAUUGUUGUUGUCCUCAACUAUGUAUUUUAAAUGGGAUUAGUCACACAACUCCUCAUGUCCCCCACCCAUUAAUACCUGACUCCUUUGCAAAACAAAGCAUAGCAUAUGGUGGUGGGGAUUACAAAAUCGUUACAGAAAUUUCAUAUGUAAAAAAGGGGCAAGAGUUGGCCAGUUUGACACUUCCUUAACCUAUUUUAUUUUUCUUAAAUAUUACAGUAUCACCAGAUAUACUUUCUAUUUAUUUCUUCUCUGAGAGUAUGCAAUUUGUCUGAUGUGUUGCCUGCUGUUUUUGGGUGAGUGAUAAAUAUGAGUUCUAUAUAGGGGGUGAAGAAAGCAUUCCAUGAGUGGGACUGUAUGAACAAUGGAGAAAAGUCAUGAAGGAAAGAUGGCAUUCCAUGUGGACUCGAGUAAAGUGAACAUGAUAUCUUGUCUAUAAGGGGGAUCAUACAUUUAAAGCAUUCAGCAACCUGUAACCAACACAACAGUCUUUCCAAGAAGAAGAGAGUAUGAGCUUUUAGAGGGGAAGAAAAGUAUCCUCUUCCCUUGAGAAGCAUUCAGAGCAUCUAGUAUCACACUUGGGAUAUAGCAGGCAUUUGGUACUCAAUUAAAGAAUAGAAUGUGAUUAAAUAACUUUGAGGGCCCACAUGGAUGACUUUGAAUACGGAUCAAAAGUUUGGACUUAGCUUGUCAGUAAUGAGGAGCCUUUGGUAUGAUCAACAGGAGAAGUAACAUAGCACAUCUGAGAUAUAGAGUAAAAUGGAAACCUUGAGCAAAGGUAGGCUAGUUAGGAGUCUGUUUCAAUAGACCAAAGGAGAUGGAGAGCAUGAGGGGCUCAGUUAGUCUUGUGGUGGUGGAAAUAAAGAGGAAAAAGCAGGUGCAGAAAACAUUCAGAGGAGGAAACAAUGGGCUGUUGAAACAAAUUGGAUAUUUGGGACAAUAGCAAGAGAAAAGUCAAAGAUAACUGGGAUUUUAAUCCUGAGCAACGGGUAGGCUAGUGAGACAUCUAAUCACUCUCCCCGUCUCCUUCCCUGAAAGUUAAUUACUCACAGAAAAAGCAUUAGCCAGAAGUCAGCAUGUUUACAUCAGUUCCUUAACCCUGCAAGUCCACAUUGGUGAUGCAGGUGGCCAAGACAGGUGCUGCACACACUGGAUUACAGCAUGGAAGAGGAGCCCAGGGUCAUGGAGGCACCCAGCAAGUGGCAAAAUAUGGGCACCUUGACCUACUGGGUUGCCUAUGUGACCAGCUACAGAAGCUGCUCAGUAUCAGGAGCUGGAGCUGCCUGCAAUCUGGCCACUCAGCAAGAAUUUUCAGAGACUGUUUCUAUUCCAUAGUGGAUGCUCCAUCCAACACCAUUCUUUUAAAGUGCGCACAUCUGAUCACUUUCCAAGUAUAAAUGGCCUGAAUUUAUUUUCCUUUCUUUACCAAAAUCCAACCUAAGUAAUUUUUUUCUUUCCAUACUCCUUAUUCAUGAACUCUAAUUGUUGGUAACUUUGAGAGCAUUGGUCAUCUUAAUUUCUUACCACUAAUGACAUGACAAGUUAAUUUCUGCAAUAAGAACAGCUAAAAUUAUUUUUAUAUCUUCUAACAUAAUAUUUUGUCAUGAAUGCUUUCCUAGAAUCUUCCUUCUGGAAUCCUACUUUUUAUGUAGUUUGGAGAUUCUCUUUUCUAAAAUAAAGAUUAGCAUGUAAGAUAAUAAAGUUAUUAUAUAUUUCAUCCAAACUGUAAAAAUACAUUGAAUAUUUUACUUCUUAAUUCCUCUAGGUAAUAUAAAAGUAUUUUAGACAGUUUUAUAUUGUAUUAAUUGAAGCAUAUCAAAGUUGAUUGAUUUCUAAAGACUGUGAACUCAACCCACAUAAGAGGAGGCAAAAGUAAAGAUUAGAACUUGCCAUUUCUAUUCCAGUCCAUUAAUUCUAGCUUAAGCUAUUUCUGAUAAGUGUGUACUCUGGAGAAAAAAAAAAUGUUAUUUGAAGAGUGGCCACUAUAUUUGUUUCUGGCAAAACUAAAGUUUUAAAAUUCCAGUUCCUCAACAAAUGGAAGAUGGAAUUUUCCAGUUCUUCAAAGUAUGAUUUUUAGGACUUGCUACUAAAGGUUAAAUUUUCUCUCUCUAUUAUAACAUAUUCAUGGAUCCUUUAGACAUUAAAGUAAAGUUGGAGUGGAAGAGUAGAAAAUAACAGA